rnacentral:rRNA from 1 species
UACGAAGGGGGCUAGCGUUGUUCGGAUUUACUGGGCGUAAAGCGCACGUAGGCGGAUUGUUAAGUCGGGGGUGAAAUCCCGGAGCUCAACUCCGGAACUGCCUUUGAUACUGGCAAUCUUGAGGCUGGAAGAGGUUAGUGGAAUUCCCAGUGUAGAGGUGAAAUUCGUAGAUAUUGGGAAGAACACCAGUGGCGAAGGCGGCUAACUGGUCCAGAUCUGACGCUGAGGUGCGAAAGCGUGGGGAGCAAACAGG